UGGGGAAUAUUGGACAAUGGGGGCAACCCUGAUCCAGCAAUGCCGCGUGUGUGAAGAAGGUCUUCGGAUUGUAAAGCACUUUCGACGGGCACGAUGAUGACGGUACCCGUAGAAGAAGCCCCGGCUAACUUCGUGCCAGCAGCCGCGGUAAUACGAAGGGGGCUAGCGUUGCUCGGAAUGACUGGGCGUAAAGGGCGUGUAG
rnacentral:rRNA from 1 species